UAAUACUCGCGGUCCAAGUCGCAGCCAUUUUUAUUGGGUCUAAAACAUCCGUAGCUUGUCUGGUAAGUUCCCUGUGAAAUCUUAUCCCUUAAAGGUAGGGCUUGCGGGAAAUACUGCCAGACUAGAGACUGGGAGACGUAGGAAGUACGUCCAAAGUAGCGGUAAAAUGUGUUGAUCUUGGACGGACUCACAACAGCGAAGGCAUCCUACGAGAACAGUUCUGACAGUAAGGGAUGAAGGCCAGGGGCGCAAAACGGAUUAGAUACCCGUGUAGUCCUGGCAGUAAACACUGCACACUAAACAUCGGUACCUCCUCGAGAGGUAUCGGUGCUGCAGGGAAGCCGAAGAGUGUGCUACCUGGGAAGUAUAGUCGCAAGGCCG
rnacentral:rRNA from 1 species